GGGGGUGACUGGCUUCGACUUCGGUGGUCAACGCAGGUGAAGCGAGCCGUGGUCUCCGGAACCACGUAAAAGAGCCGGAACAACAAAUACCUGUCGACAACAACGACAACCUCGCUCUCGCCGCCUAGGCGGUAGCGACGCGAGCCCGGUCCCGGCCCUGCGGACCGGUGCUGGCGCCAUCAAGCAGGGCUCACCUCCCGGCCUCGCCAGCGGGCCGGAGGGGGAAACUCAGCUGGCUGGGGCCUUCCGCCGAUGCCGGUGGCGAGCAGAAGGCCCGAGAUCGAUCACCGGAUGCGCUCGGAGAAGCCCUGCGGAGAAGCUGAAGGACGCGGGUUCGAUUCCCGCCACCUCCACGA
rnacentral:tmRNA from 2 species